AUGGUGAAGGCAGCGAGGACAAUGAAGGUAAACACAAACGAAAUCCGUCGAAAUAUUGUCUAUCCCCGUACGACCUUCUCAUUACCCGGAACAAACGUGUUAAAAAAAAUAAUCAAUGCAUAUUGUAAACACUUACAACACCGUGAUUUCUCUGAUCGUUUCAUAUCAACAACGUGGUUCCCCAAAUUUAUGUUGGGUAGGGCUAGGGGAAAGACCAAGUCAAUUAAUGAUUUGGAUUCUGAACAUGUUACAAAGAAAGCAGAAGUCCUCGCAAGAGUAAUGGAUGAGUAUUUCAGACGGGACAAGGCGUAUUUUCCUAUGCACGUUAAUGACAAUCAUUGGAUAACCAUAGUGAUGCACACCGUCAAGGAGGAGUUUCAAGUUCUUGACUCAAAUUCUAAAGGCGCAAUAAGCAAAAGAAUUCGCAAUAUGAUUGCCACCCUGGCCAACUCUACUCUUGAAUCAAAAAAAAUUCCAGAUGUCUCAUCGUGGCCAAUUAAUGAGUAUAAAAUGCCGAGACAACAUGAUGGAGUGUCUUGUGGACUUUUUGUGAUGUGGUGCAUAAAAUACUGGGACGGAGAUCGCUGGACACAUGAAUUUGACCAGCAAGAGAUUAAUGAGUCAAGGUCGCGUAUUGUCGCAGAAAUCAUUUUUUCUGAGGUCAACAGAUUAGAGAAAGUGAAGAUGAAAAUUGUUAAAAUCAUGGAGAAGGAGUAG
rnacentral:rRNA from 1 species